ACAUAAUAAGAUUUAUUCCUAUGAAGAAUAAAUCCGGUUAUCGGAGGAAAGUGGGCUUACGUUUUGGGAGUUGUCCCGCUUUGAACACGUGGUGGAACUUGUUAUGUAUUAUGAGUCACGUUAAUUAUUUUAACCUUGAUAACUGUGACGUCAUCAUUCUUUCUUUACCACGUACGAUACAGCAGAGGGAAGACGCAAAAAAUUGGGUUCCGUAUGAAUUAACUAAUGUUUGUUUCAAAAGUUAAUAAUAUUUCUUUGAUUUGGUAUAUGAAAUGGAUGUCUUUCAAAAAAUCUUAUUUUACUGAAAAGGUUCGGAAAGUUUGAAAGAUAGGAAAAGCACAUGGUUUUGAUCCAGUAUAAAAUAGUGUUAAAGAUUUUAUAUCUUUUGUUGUUUCUUCUGUAAAGAGUUUCUAAAUAUUUCAUUGUAAAUUUUUAAUUGUUGGUUUAAUUCAGUGGAAAUCAUGAAUUAUAUUUCCAAAAAAUAGAAAUUUUAACAGACCCGUAAUUUCAGAUAAAAACUGCGCACAUGGUUUUAAAGACACGUGUCGCAUGGACGUCUGCGAUUUUAAAACUAUCGUUAUAUGAAAUGUUUCAUCUGCUACACAGCAAGCAAUUUAAAGAGAAACCAAUAAUGAAUAAAUGUAUGAAGUUUAUAAAAUAUACAGAUCUAACAUUGUUGGGUUGAUGUUUAGACGAGUUGUAUAGAUAUUAUAACUUUUCAACGGUCGUUUCACUAAUAUUAUUGUAGUAAUUUUUCAGUUUUAAAAACCAAACAUCUUAUGGAAAUCGGGAAAGCAGAUCGUAUGUCACAAAGGCCCUCUAAAAGUCCUUAUAAAUGCAGCCAAAGGCAAAGGGUACAGCAGAGGGGCGUACCGACAUCGUUGGGAAACAGAUCUAGCAAUGUCGUUGGACAGCAUACUUCCACGCAAGUUUUAGCUACAUGUAUGAUGACUCCUGGCAGAACUUAGGAAUGAAGUUGUUCAGAUUGUCAAUGGCAAUGCCCUUAUUCACUCUCCAGCUACUGUUAGUGUUACAUCUCCUGACUCAGUCAAUGAAAGGCAACAAUCGAAUACAGGUAUAACACAAAGUUCUAAUAUUUGCCAAUAACUAGUGCAAAUGAUAAUCUAUGUUUAAAUGUUUCACAAAACUCGGAACAAAAUAAUUAAUGGUGAAUAUGUAGAUUUAGGUAUAUAUUGCUUUAAUACAAAUUCAGGCACAGAACAGUAGAUACAAAUGGACAGCUGAUUAUCCAAACUAAACUAAGUAAAAAGAUUACUGAUAUUAACACAUGGAUAGAUGCUUUCCUUAUUUACAUAAGUAUUUAUGUUGGUGUACAUUUAGAAGAUGCACCUAACUUAACCGAAUACAUACAUGUUAAAAUAUUUUGUGUAUCCGUGUUUCCAGUGCAAAAUUUACAAAAUCUCUCAUUAGAGGGUAUUGUUGGUCUUGCAUACCUACCAGUUUCUAUUGAUAAUGAGUGUGCACUUAUUCUUAAUUUAGUGAUAAAUAAAAAGUUAACCACAGUUUCCAUCUUUUAUCUUAGAUAGUUCAAAUUUAAUUUAAUUUUGUAGAAAUCUUCUAGUUUCUGUUUGAAAUUACUAUUACAAUGCUUGUUAAAGGGUAUUCCAAUAUAUUUCAUUAAUUCAGAUAAUUUAUUAGACCACAAAUUUUCUCUGUACUAAGUUGAUAUUUUAAUAGGAUUGAUUGAUUGUUGGUUGCUUAAUGUCCAGUGGCAAAUAUUUCAGGCAUAUCUAUCAGGACGAAUAUUUACACAGUGUCUGUAAAUUGUGUCAUUUUAGGAUAAUUUAGUUUGUAUCAAGCGGAUACAUUGUUAUGACACAGUGUCUGUAAAUUAUGUCUUUUUAGAAUAACUUAGUUUGUAUCAAGGAGAUAUUCUGGUAGGACACAGUGUCUCUAAAUUGUGUCUUUUUAGGAUAAUCUAGUUUGUAUCAAUUAGAUCCAUUGAUAGGACAAAGUGUCUGUAAAUUGUGUCUUUUAAGGAUAAUAUAGUUGUAUCAAGUAGAUACAUUGAUAUGACACAGUGUCUGUAAAUUGUGUCUUUUAAGGAUAAUAUAGUUUGUAUCAAGUAGAUAUGUUGAUAGGACAGUGUCUGUAAAUUGUGUCUUUUAAGGAUAAUAUAGUUUGUAUCAAGUAGAUAUGUUGAUAGGACAGUGUCUGUAAAUUGUGUCUUUUAAGGAUAAUAUAGUUUGUAUCAAGUAGAUAUGUUGAUAGGACAUAGUGUGUUUAAUUGUGUCUUUUAAGGAUAAUAUAGUUUGUAUCAAGUAGAUAUGUUGAUAGGACACAGUGUCUGUAAAUUGUGUCUUUUAAGGAUAAUAUAGUUUGUAUCAAGUAGAUAUGUUGAUAGGACAGUGUCUGUAAAUUGUGUCUUUUAAGGAUAAUAUAGUUUGUAUCAAGUAGAUAUGUUGAUAGGACACAGUGUCUGUAAAUUGUGUCUUUUUAGGAUAAUUUAGUUUGUAUCAAGUAGAUACAUUGAUAUGACACAGUGUCUGUAAAUUGUGUCUUUUUAGGAUAAUUUAGUUUGUAUCAAGUAGAUACAUUGAUAGGACAGUGUCUGUAAAUUGUGUCUUUUAAGAAUAAUUUAGUUUGUAUCAAGUAGAUAUGUUGAUAGGACAGUGUCUGUAAAUUGUGUUUUUUAAGGAUAAUUUAGUUUGUAUCAAGUAGAUAUGUUGAUAGGAUACAGUGUCUGUAAAUUGUGUCUUUUAAGGAUAAUAUAGUUUGUAUCAAGUAGAUAUGUUGAUAGGACACAGUGUCUGUAAAUUGUGUCUUUUAAGGAUAAUAUAGUUUGUAUCAAGUAGAUAUGUUGAUAGGACACAGUGUCUGUAAAUUGUGUCUUUUAAGGAUAUUUUAGUUUGUAUCAAGUAGAUACAUUGAUAUGACACAGUGUCUGUAAAUUGUGUCUUUUAAGGAUAAUUUAGUUUGUAUCAAGUAGAUAUGUUGAUAGGAUACAGUGUGUGUAAAUUGUGUCUUUUAAGGAUAAUUGAGUUUGUAUCAAGUAGAUACAUUGAUAUGACACAGUGUCUGUAAAUUGUGUCUUUUAAGGAUAAUUUAGUUUGUAUCAAGUAGAUACAUUGAUAGGACACAGUGUCUGUAAAUUGUGUCGUUUAAGGAUAAUUUAGUUUGUAUCAAGUAGAUACAUUGAUAUGACACAGUGUCUGUAAAUUGUGUCUGAUAAGGAUAAUUUAGUUUGUAUCAAGUAGAUACAUUUGAUAUGACACAGUGUCUGUAAAUUGUGUCGUUUAAGGAUAAUUUAGUUUGUAUCAAGUAGAUACAUUGAUAUGACACAGUGUCUGUAAAUUAUGUCUUUUAAGGAUAAUUUAGUUUGUAUCAAGUAGAUACAUUGUUAGGAAACAGUGUCUGUAAAUUGUGUCUUAUGAGGAUAAUUUAGUUUGUAUCAAGUAGAUACAUUGAUAGGACAAAGUGUCUGUAAAUUGUGUCUUUUAAGGAUAAUUUAGUUUGUAUCAAGUAGAUACAUUGAUAAGACACAGUGUCUGUAAAUUGUGUCGUUUAAGGAUGAUUUAGUUUGUAUCAAGUAGAUACAUUGAUAUGACACAGUGUCUGUUAAUUAUGUCUUUUAAGGAUAAUUUAGUUUGUAUCAAGUAGAUACAUUGAAAAGACACAAUGUCUGUAAAUUGUGUAUUUUAAGGAUAAUUUAGUUUGUAUCAAGUAGAUACAUUGAUAGGACACAGUGUCUGUAAAUUGUGUAUUUUAAGGAUAAUUUAGUUUGUAUCAAGUAGAUACAUUGAUAGGACACAGUGUCUGUAAAUUGUGUAUUUUAAGGAUAAUUUAGUUUGUAUCAAGUAGAUACAUUGAUAGGACACAGUGUCUGUAAAUUGUGUAUUUUAAGGAUAAUUUAGUUUGUAUCAAGUAGAUACAUUGAUAGGACACGGUGUCUGUAAAUUGUGUAUUUUAAGGAUAAUUUAGUUUGUAUCAAGUAGAUACAUUGAUAGGACACAGUGUCUGUAAAUUGUUCCUUUUUAGUAUUUUUGAUUUGUAUCAAGUAGAUACAUCAGAAACAUAGUGUACAUGUCUAGUGGCUUUCGAAGCGUUCCGUAAAUUGUAUAAUUAUGAUAUCAUUUGGCCACCACUUUUAGAAUCACUUAAGGCAUUUUUAUUGCAUGCAACUAUAUUUAUUGCUUAUAUGUCACUUGAAACAAAUUAAAUGGGUUUAUAGGACAGCUAACUGUUAUCCGUAAAGAAAGAUCACGUUGCAAAAUUUUGCUAUUAUUGUUAUCCCAUUCUCAAAAACGGAUCAAUGUUGUCAUGGUACAUGUAUAGAAAUAACAGAAACUAAACUAGAAUAUUGUCUAAUUUAUUUGUAAAAAUAUGAAAUGCAAAGACCAAAGGUUAAAGUCCCCUUAUUCUCUGACUUUGGUGACAAGUACCAGUGUUCAUGUGUUCUAAGUUUUUAAAAGUUUGAAUACAUGUAGGAAUAAUGGAUUCAGUUUCAUUUUGAAUCGGAGAUAUGGUAAAAACCAAUAAGCAUGAAUAAAGCAGCCACAAGAAUGUACACCUUUGCCGCUUAGCUAUAUAUACAAUUGGGAGGUUGUUACAUAAAAUAGCCUGAAAUAUAUAAUAAGCCCGAUAUAUUCACAUCUGACGGCGUUACUUUAUCUCAUGUGGGCAAUUGUUUUUUUUUUUCUUAUUUCAUUACAGGGUAAUUUAAAUAUAAAUAUAUGUGUGUGGUCAUUUAAAAGUACGGUCACGGCGGGUGUGUUGUGUCGCUACCGCAUUUGUGGCGGUGGUCGAACUCAGUGUCCAAUAACUCUUGGCAUAGCCACUGAAUUCGACCAUGUGGCGAAAAUAGCGACACAACAUCUACAAAUAUAUUAUGCUUCUUAUAAUGGAAUUAUGUAUCCGCUGAGCUUCUGUUUCCCAGGGCCAGCAUCCGAUAUAUUUUGGAAGCAAUAAUGUUAAUAAGGAUAUUAUAUUGAUAUAUAAGGAAAUGACAUUAUAAGGAAUAACAAUAAGGUGGAAAUAAGGAAUAAGAAUAAUGUGGAAAUAAGGAAUAAGGAAUGGACAAUAAUGUGGAAAUAAGGAAUAAGGAAUGGACAAUAAUGUGGAAAUAAGGAAUAAGGAAUGGACUAUAAGGUUUAAUUAUAUAUACUAGGGACUUGCCAAUUAUGUUUCUCGGCAGUCCCAUUCUUUGUCAAGCCGUGGCCGUACAAUUUUGUACUUUUGCCAAAUAAAAUAUUUCUUACUUUAUAUAUUUGUAUGUCAUUUGGCCCCACGUUGUCUCAGAUAAUAAGAUUUAUUCCUAUGAAGAAUAAAUCCGGUUAUCGGAGGAAAGUGGGCUUACGUUUUGGGAGUUGUCCCGCUUUGAACACGUGGUGGAACUUGUUAUGUAUUAUGAGUCACGUUAAUUAUUUUAACCUUGAUAACUGUGACGUCAUCAUUCUUUCUUUACCACGUACGAUACAGCAGAGGGAAGACGCAAAAAAUUGGGUUCCGUAUGAAUUAACUAAUGUUUGUUUCAAAAGUUACCCACCCACCCACCAC
rnacentral:lncRNA from 1 species